AACUUAUGAUGUGGAACUAUACGGACAUAGUCAUUGAAACACUCAUAGGCUUCAGCAAUGUUCUUAGUAGAAUACUGAGAAAAAGUAGCUAUCUUGCUUCUCAGGUU
rnacentral:snoRNA from 1 species